rnacentral:rRNA from 1 species
UGAGGAAUAUUGGUCAAUGGACGAGAGUCUGAACCAGCCAAGUCGCGUGAGGGAAGACUGCCCUAUGGGUUGUAAACCUCUUUUAUAAGGGAAGAAUAAGUUCUACGUGUAGAAUGAUGCCUGUACCUUAUGAAUAAGCAUCGGCUAACUCCGUGCCAGCAGCCGCGGUAAUACGGAGGAUGCGAGCGUUAUCCGGAUUUAUUGGGUUUAAAGGGUGCGUAGGCGGUUUAUUAAGUUAGUGGUUAAAUAUUUGAGCUAAACUCAAUUGUGCCAUUAAUACUGGUAAACUGGAGUACAGACGAGGUAGGCGGAAUAAGUUAAGUAGCGGUGAAAUGCAUAGAUAUAACUUAGAACUCCGAUAGCGAAGGCAGCUUACCAGACUGUAACUGACGCUGAUGCACGAGAGCGUGGGUAGCGAACAGGAUUAGAUACCCUGGUAGUCCACGCCGUAAACGAUGCUCACUGGUUCUGUGCGAUAUAUUGUACGGGAUUAAGCGAAAGUAUUAAGUGAGCCACCUGGGGAGUACGUCGGCAACGAUGAAACUCAAAGGAAUUGACGGGGGCCCGCACAAGCGGAGGAACAUGUGGUUUAAUUCGAUGAUACGCGAGGAACCUUACCUGGGUUUAAAUGGGAAAUGUCGUAUUUGGAAACAGAUAUUCUCUUCGGAGCGUUUUUCAAGGUGCUGCAUGGUUGUCGUCAGCUCGUGCCGUGAGGUGUCGGGUUAAGUCCCAUAACGAGCGCAACCCUUACCGUUAGUUGCUAGCAUGUAAUGAUGAGCACUCUAACGGGACUGCCACCGUAAGGUGAGAGGAAGGCGGGGAUGACGUCAAAUCAGCACGGCCCUUACACCCAGGGCUACACACGUGUUACAAUGGCCGGUACAGAGGGCCGCUACCAGGUGACUGGAUGCCAAUCUCAAAAGCCGGUCGUAGUUCGGAUUGGAGUCUGUAACCCGACUCCAUGAAGUUGGAUUCGCUAGUAAUCGCGCAUCAGCCAUGGCGCGGUGAAUACGUUCCCGGGCCUUGUACACACCGCCCGUCAAGCCAUGGAAGCCGGGGGUGCCUGAAGUCCGUAACCGCGAGGAUCGGCCUAGGGCAAAACUGGUAACUGGGGCUAAGUCGUAACAAGGUAGCCGUACCGGAAGGUGCGGCUG